rnacentral:tRNA from 1 species
GGGCCUGUAGCUCAGCUAGGUAGAGUAGCGGACUCUUAAUCCGCCUGUCGAGGGUUCGAAUCCCUUCAGGCCCG